rnacentral:rRNA from 1 species
ACGGAGGAUCCGAGCGUUAUCCGGAUUUACUGGGUUUAAAGGGUGCGUAGGCGGAAUAGUAAGUCAGUGGUGAAAGCCUGCAGCUUAACUGUAAAACUGCCAUUGAAACUGCUAGUCUGGAGUAUAGUAGAGGUAGCUGGAAUGUGUCGUGUAGCGGUGAAAUGCAUAGAGAUGACACAGAACACCAAUGGCGUAGGCAGGUUACUGGACUAUAACUGACGCUGAGGCACGAAAGCGUGGGGAUCAAACAG